UUUUCUUUUUCGCUUUAUUUAGUUUUGUGUUAAUUAUAUCCACAAAGUAAUCGAAUAAAUUGGUAAUGUAAAACUAUUAUCCGCUGUAAAUUAAUUGUGUGCUCAAUUGCGACGCCCUGUGUUGAAUUUUCCCGCGGAAAACAUGAACAACCAUUGCUGACUGAAUUGUUUGACAAAGGCGUCUUACUGGAGUACAGUAUCAUUACUGAGGGGAAAUAUAACAUUAUUCAUUUAAUUCCACAAAAGGCCUGUAACGUACUGCAGCUUCCUGCAGGCAACGUGAAACAUUGCUGAGGGAGAACUUUAUUCACAACAAAAGGAUAAAGAUGAAGAGGCGGGACUUUAGCAGCUUGUGAUGGCUGUAAUUGUAAAGAAUGGAUCUUCUAGGAGUGGCAGCCCAAGGGAUGCUGGAAUUGUUAUCGUGGCCUUAAAGGUGUUCCCAGGGCAUGCCUCAUUGGAUUGGAUUGGAUCUAUGCAUUGAAUCUCCAGUAUCCCAGGCAUCUUUUCAGGUGUUUCAGAAACUUUUCUUGGAGCAGGAUUCUUCAAAGUUUAUGAACUGAUUACAGUACAGUAAGUCUAAACUGCUGUCUGAUUUUCUGGGUGUGAAUCAAUGUAACAGAACACAAACAUGGAACCUUUCAUCGGGAAAUGUGGACGGUUUUCUUUAAAGACUGUAAAAUACUUUUUGUACACUGUUACAAAUACACCAUUAAAAAUGAGAUGCUUUCCUGUUCUUUUGACUGGAAUAAAAAAAGAA